rnacentral:lncRNA from 1 species
UCCGUGGUUGAUAUAGUAGUGGAUCUUAGACGCACGGAAUGGACAUGCGAUUGAUUCCGAGGAACGGUGGCUGGCGAAUGAUCUAAGGUAAGUGGGAGAGUCGGAA